rnacentral:rRNA from 1 species
GAUGAACGCUGGCGGCGUGCCUAAUACAUGCAAGUCGAGCGAACAGACGAGGAGCUUGCUCCUCUGACGUUAGCGGCGGACGGGUGAGUAACACGUGGAUAACCUACCUAUAAGACUGGGAUAACUUCGGGAAACCGGAGCUAAUACCGGAUAAUAUAUUGAACCGCAUGGUUCAAUAGUGAAAGACGGUUUUGCUGUCACUUAUAGAUGGAUCCGCGCCGCAUUAGCUAGUGGUAAGGUAACGGCUUACCAAGGCAACGAUGCGUAGCCGACCUGAGAGGGUGAUCGGCCACACUGGAACUGAGACACGGUCCAGACUCCUACGGGAGGCAGCAGUAGGGAAUCUUCCGCAAUGGGCGAAAGCCUGACGGAGCAACGCCGCGUGAGUGAUGAAGGUCUUCGGAUCGUAAAACUCUGUUAUUAGGGAAGAACAAAUGUGUAAGUAACUAUGCACGUCUUGACGGUACCUAAUCAGAAAGCCACGGCUAACUACGUG